rnacentral:sRNA from 1 species
AGUCACACUAGAAGGGGAGGAGAGAAAAGCCAUGGCCGACAAGGUCCUGAAGGAGAAGAGAAAGCUGUUUAUCCGUUCCAUGGGUGAAGGCACGAUAAAUGGCUUACUGGAUGAAUUAUUACAGACAAGGGUGCUGAACAAGGAAGAGACAGAGAAAGUAAAACGUGAAAAUGCUACAGUUAUGGAUAAGACCCGAGCUUUGCUUGACUCUCUUAUUCCGAAAGGGGCACGGGCAUGUGAAAUUUGCAUCACAUACAUUUGUGAAGAAGACAGUUACCUGGCAGAGACGCUGGGACUCUCAGCAGAUCAAACAUCUGGAAAUUACCUUAAUAUGCAAGACUCUCAAGGAGUACUUUCUUCCUUUCCAGCUCCUCAGGCAGUGCAGGACAACCCAGCUAUGCCCACAUCUUCAGGCUCAAAAGGGAAUGUCAAGCUUUGCUCCCUAAAAGAAGCUCAAAAGAUAUGGAAAGAAAAGCCGGCAGAGGUGCCAUGCUCAGAACACAAGGAUUAGAGUGGGGUGAAAGAAA